UACAGAGGCCUCGAGCGUUAGGCGGAAUCACUGGGCUUAAAAGCGUGUGUAGGCGGACUUCUAAGUACCUUGUGAAAUCCCACGGCUCACCCGUGGAACUGCUUGGUAUACUGGUCGUCUUGAGCCUUCUAGGGGCGAGUGGAACAAAUGGUGGAGCGGUGAAAUGCGUAGAUAUCAUUUGGAACGCCAAUGGUGAAAACAACUCGCUGGGGAAGUGCUGACGCUGAGACACGAAAGCCAGGGGAGCGAACGGG
rnacentral:rRNA from 1 species